CGCCAGACUCCUACGGGAGGCAGCAGUGGGGAAUACUGCACAAUGGGGGAAACCCUGAUGCAGCGACGCCGCGUGAGUGAAGAAGUAUUUCGGUAUGUAAAGCUCUAUCAGCAGGGAAGAAAAUGACGGUACCUGACUAAGAAGCCCCGGCUAACUACGUGCCAGCAGCCGCGGUAAUACGUAGGGGGCAAGCGUUAUCCGGAUUUACUGGGUGUAAAGGGAGCGUAGACGGCAUGGCAAGUCAGAUGUGAAAGCCCGGGGCUCAACCCCGGGACUGCAUUUGAAACUGUCAGGCUGGAGUGCAGGAGAGGUAAGUGGAAUUCCUAGUGUAGCGGUGAAAUGCGUAGAUAUUAGGAGGAACACCAGUGGCGAAGGCGGCUUACUGGACUGUAACUGACGUUGAGGCUCGAAAGCGUGGGGAGCAAACAGGAUUAGAUACCCGGGUAC
rnacentral:rRNA from 1 species